rnacentral:rRNA from 1 species
GCUAAGCCGUGCGAGUGGAGGGCGUCCCGCAAGGGAUGGCCCCGCAGACGGCUCAGUAACACGUCGUCAACCUACCCUGGGGUGGGGGACAACCUCGGGAAACUGAGGGUAAUCCCCCAUAGGUGGGGGAGGCUGGAAUGCGCCCCCGCUGAAAGCUCAGGCGCCCUAGGACGGGGCGGCGGCCUAUCAGGUAGUUGGUGGUGUAACGGACCACCAAGCCUACGACGGGUACGGGCUGUGAGAGCAGGAGCCCGGAGAUGGGGACUGAGACAAGGCCCCAGGCCCUACGGGGCGCAGCAGGCGCGAAAACUCCGCAAUGCGCGCAAGCGUGACGGGGGAACCCCGAGUGCCGCUGAUCUUUGAUCGGCGGCUUUUCGGGAGUGCAAGGAGCUCCCGGAAUAAGGGCUGGGUAAGACUGGUGCCAGCCGCCGCGGUAAUACCAGCAGCCCAAGUGGUGGUCGCAU